CUUCCGAUGUGGGAACCAUAAGCCACUCUGUAAUGGGGGAAAAAGGAAGUCCAAGCUUAAAAACCAAACAAAUUAACAACAAUAAUAGAGAAUUUAGUGCCUGGGGAAAAGAAAAAAGAAAAGUUCAAAAACACAUGAAAUGAAAGUAAAAGAAACACGAUACAGCUGAUACUCAACUUCAAGUCCAGUAAAGUGCAAACCCAUGUGUGAAAAAAAGAGGAGUUUCAAUCAAAAUGAAAAGAGUAGCAACACAGAUCUCAAAAUAAAAACUCAAUACUGAAGAACAGGUGAAAAGCAAGAAAGUAGAGUUAACGUUACCAGAAUAGACAAAAGAAGAGAAGUGAAAAACCCUAGAAGAGGAAGAGGAUGAGCAUUUGAGGAAAAAAGAAGAAAUGGGGUUGGGGCAAAAAGGGUUGAAAAAUGGCUGGAAACUCUGUGGG
rnacentral:lncRNA from 1 species